GACCGCUCCGGUUGCCUAGUUGUUAGAGCCUCCGCCUCGGAUGCGGGAGGUCGUGGUUCGAUCCCAGUCGAGUCA